rnacentral:rRNA from 1 species
AAGGCUAAAUACGUCCGUGAGACCGAUAGCAAACAAGUACCGUGAGGGAAAGUUGCAAAGAACUUUGAAGAGAGAGUUCAAGAGUACGUGAAACCGCUCAGAGGCAAACGGGUGGGCCCACGAAAGCCGAAGGCGGGGGGAUUCAGUCGAGAGAACGGUGGGGCAGGACUGGCUGGUUGGACGGACCGUGCCAGGCCGGGUCAGUUCCCGAGAUCUGCCGCCUUUCGACGCAUUUCCCCCUGCUUAGUAGGACGCCGCAACCGGUUGGCGCUGCAGCCAUAAGGGAGAGUAAAUGGAAGGUAGCCAGUGAGUUCUUCUCCGGAGGUGCGAGCUGGUCCUAAGCCGACUCUCCUGGUGCUUGUGGCCCGACCGUGGUCGUGAGUCCCUCAAUGGGAUGUCGCCGAGCCCUCUGACUGGAGCGGGAGAAGUGGCAGGCUGCUUUCCGCGGAAAAAAUCGAUCGCUUCACGCGUGCAGUGGGCGAUCUCCGGAGGUAGCUGCUGGUGCGUUUUUCUCCUGCGCUGGGCACAGGCAGUUGGCGGCGAGUAGGUCGGUCACCCACCCGACCCGUCUUGAAACACGGACCAAGGAGUCUAACAUGUGCGCGAGUCAUUGGGUCUUGAACAAGCCCAAAGGCGCAAUGAAAGUGAAGACCAGCACUGAAGCUGGUGGAGUUGGGAAACUGUGUCACUGAAGAUGCAGUUGCACCAACGGCCCGUCCCGUCCGCAUCGUCGGUGGGGCGGAGCGAGAGCGUACACGUUGGGACCCGAAAGAUGGUGAACUAUGCCUGGGCAGGACGAAGCCAGAGGAAACUCUGGUGGAGGUCCG